GAAAUAGUGAUUGCAUAAAAUAAGUUAGCUUCAUGAAUAGAGUAUUAUUUUUACGAACUAUAUAAGAUUUAUGUUAGUCUCCAAAAUGAUAAGAAUGUGGGUACUAUUAUCUUACUUUCAAGUCAAACAUAGUUAUUUAUUUGAGAAUUAGAUUAUGGUAUUUUAAGCAUUUAAAUUAUAUACUAUACGUGGCAUAAUGACCCAAGUCUUAGGGCAUUUUUUUCGGCCAAAACAUUGUAUAGGAUAGAGAGUUUUAUUUGAGUUAAUAAGUAAUAAAAAUGAGAUAAUGGAGAGACUAAGUAAGUGUGUGGUGUAGUAGUUGUGGAGCUAAGUGAUAUUUAAUUAAGCUUAAUUGCUCAAGUGGGGACGUGUACCAUGCAUGUGAAUUAAAGAAUAUAAAGCUUAUAUAUUUUUUUCUUAAGCUUGGACGUGUGGCACUCUUGGAGAUAAGCAUGGAAUAGAUUAGACUCAUUCCAACUAUGUCACACUUAAGUAAUAAUUAGAUUUCAAAAUUCAAAUUCAAGAUUUGGAUCAAGUAGGUGGUAAUUAAUUUAAAUAGGAUUAUUUUUUUUUAAAAGUACCACAUUCUGUUCAAGAUGAAUCAAAUUUGAUGGAAGUGGAUGAUAAAGGUUGGAGGUUCAAAUUUGAAAAUCUGUUAUGGGUUUAUGGUUGUUUCUUGGAACUUUUUUUUUGACCGAGUAUGUAGACGUAAGUUAGAGCUUUAGCAGUGUAUUUGAAUAUUUUCUUCAAUCUCACCAUGAUUAGAUUUGGUUAGUUUUAAUGCCUAUAAAUACCUUUCAUUAAAUCAUUUUUCUCAUCACAUAAAUUUUCUAAACACUUUCCACUAGCUCCCAAAAUUACCGAAGCUCACACACUCUCUAUUCUUAAAUAAUUAUGUUUUCUUUCUAGGACUUUCUCUAUCCUGGCUAUUAUAAUCUCCAUACAACUAUUAUCCACACUACCUCACAAAAAUACACACACUACUAUUAUUUACUCAAUCAUCCACAAGCCACGGCUCAACCUACAAAUUACCAUCAUCUUAUUUUCUAUUUCAAGAUCAUCUCAUGUUAUAGGUGUGUCUUACACUAGGCCUGGGCUUAAGAAUUCUUCAUAGUCACGAAUAGGAUUCUCCUUUGAAGCUACGGUACUUCAUAAGAAAAUUAUUAUUUCUCAAGGAUCACUCUCAUUGCAAUCAAGGCUAGGACUCCACAUUCGAGACGAAGGUAACUGAAAGUUUAGAAAGCCAGUGGCGAGUGGAACUUUGGACGCUUGUGUGUGUGAACUCGCUGAGGGCCAUAUAACUGCGGGCGGUCUAGGGCGCUCUGUUUAUUUAUUUAUGUUAUUAAACUUAUGUCGCAAUUAUUUUAGUUAUUAAUUAUUAUGUUUUUUUUUUACGAAAACUGGCCAGUUGUGAACAUUUUCAAGUAUUAAAUAAAAAUGCGACAUUACGAUUUUCCGCGUUUAACGCUUGUAAAUAAAAUUAAUAUUUUUAUAAAAGUACGGGCGUUACAUCAAAGAACAUGUAUAAUACUCUUGAGAUCGAACCUAACCAUAUCAGGAUUAAGAUCAUUUGAUCUAGGAUCAACAGGUGAUAUUGAAUUGAAUAGAUAUUACG